AGAGUUUGAUCCUGGCUCAGAGUGAACGCUGGCGGCAUGCCUAACACAUGCAAGUCGAACGGUAACAGGCCCGCAAGGGUGCUGACGAGUGGCGGACGGGUGAGGAAUACAUCGGAAUUUGCCCAGUCGUGGGGGAUAACGUAGGGAAACUUACGCUAAUACCGCAUACGACCUUACGGUGAAAGCGGGGGAUCGUAAGACCUCGCGCUAUUGGAUGAGCCGAAGUCGGAUUAGCUAGUUGGUAGGGUAACGGCCUACCAAGGCGACAAUCCGUAGCUGGUCUGAGAGGACGACCAGCCACACUGGGACUGAGACACGGCCCAGACUCCUACGGGAGGCAGCAGUGGGGAAUAUUGGACAAUGGGGGAAACCCUGAUCCAGCGACGCCGCGUGUGUGAAGAAGGCCUGCGGGUUG
rnacentral:rRNA from 1 species